rnacentral:rRNA from 1 species
GACGAACGCUGGCGGCGUGCUUAACACAUGCAAGUCGAGCGGUAAGGCCCUUUCGGGGGUACACGAGCGGCGAACGGGUGAGUAACACGUGGGUGACCUGCCCUCAGCUCUGGGAGAAGCCUGGGAAACCGGGUCUAAUACUGGAUAUGACUCCAUGACGCAUGUUGUGGGGUGGAAAGCCUUGUGCGGCUGAGGAUGGGCCCGCGGCCUAUCAGCUUGUUGGUGGGGUGANGGCCUACCAAGGCGACGACGGGUAGCCGGCCUGAGAGGGCGGACGGCCACACUGGGACUGAGACACGGCCCAGACUCCUACGGGAGGCAGCAGUGGGGAAUUUUCGCAAUGGCGAAAGCCUGACGCAGCGACGCCGCGUGAGGGAUGACGGCCUC